UUGUGAAAUGUACUUUUUUUUUUUUAGAUUUUAGUUUUCUAGACAUUUCAUUUAGAAAUGUUUAGAUCUUAUGACUGAACAAUGCAACUGUAAUAUUAUUUUGCUGCUCAAUCUUCACCCUCAUUAUUUUAAUGAAAAUUUGUUUCUCCAUGUGAUUAUAUUAUGUCCACAUUCCAGACAAUCGCCUUCUGUAUGGAGAGCUGUGUGUGCAGGAAAUCGCUAUAAAGAUACCCUUAAAAACUUCUUCAUGGAGUGUGAUAUUGAAAUAUGACCAAACCUACCCAUGCCACAUAUAUGACCUGCAUUUCAAAGUGAGGAUUGGACUUUACAGUCAUCUUCAUGCUCAUCUUUGACCACGAAGGAGGAGCUAUAUAUAUAUAUAUAUUAUGGUAGCAAAAUAUUACAUAAGCAAAUAUGUAUGUGUACCUUGCUCAAUAUUAAUGUCUUUGUAUUAUUAUGAUAUUACCUAACUCUUUUGUACUAUUUCUUUGCACAAUUUUACAAUUUAAAUUUUUGUAAAUAUUUUGUUACAAUUAUUAUUAAAAACUAAACCUACUAUUGAUGUAUUAGGAUAGAACCAUGUUUAUUACAUUGGGACAUGGUGGCUGAGGGGUAAGGUACUUGGUUUCCGAACAGAAGUGCCUCAGAUUGAAUCUGAGUGAAAACAUGGGAUUUUGAAUUUAUGGAUUUUCAGGACAUUUGAGUCCACUCAACUCUAAUGAUUACCUGACAUUAGUUGGUAAAAGUAAAGGCUGGUGGUCAUUGUGUCGGCCAUAGAUACAGAUGAUCUUUAUAUCAUCUUUCCUAGAUAGCUAGGUCUGAAAGGGAAACUAUGCUUUUUACUCAAUGUAUAUUUCACACUGUCACAGUAAAGUGGUAGGCUAUUUGCUUCACAGAUAUCAAAUACUGUGUAUAUCGAUAUAAAAUAAAUGAAUAAUAAAAUAAUUAUAUCAAUGAAAGGAGAUCUGCUCUAAACUUUCAUUGUUCAAUUCUAACAUUUACUUGUGACAGUGGUUCUCAAACUUGGGUCCGCAAGGUGACCCUCAGGUUCGAAAAAAGUUGAAAAUUGUAUACAAUUAAAAUAAUUUCUUCUCUAUAAGCCAGUUUAUCCAAUUGGAUGAUUUGAAUAAUAAUCAACUCACCUCUCACUACUGUUUAAUAUGUUUA